AGAGAGUUUAGAAUGACAUCCUUCCCCAACUGUUCAUGAAAGAGAAAGCCGAGCUUGCUUAAGCGCUCAAUUAUCCCGAUCAUGUACAGUAUAUGAUCAGUGACUAAUGCUCCUUCCCUCAUUCGAGCAUUGAAGAUGGCACAACUUAUCUUGUGCCUCUCAACAUUGUUGGACGUCCCAAAAGAUUCAUUCAAUAUUUGUAACAUGUCCUG
rnacentral:lncRNA from 1 species